UUUUGUUUUACGCAUUUUCACUGUUUGAUAUUCCA
rnacentral:sRNA from 1 species